ensembl:lncRNA novel transcript
GAAUGCCUACUGGGGUGAUAACAGUUUUAAAAAGUAUUAUGUUUUACUUCUUCAUGUAUAUUUGCAUGUUUUCCUAACAGACCCUCAACGUUGCUAGAUGAUUGGCUAUAUGGAUGAUUUGACUGGGAGGUAGUGGCCCUAAUGGAGUAAUAAGAAACGCUGUGCAUAGAUGGUUGAGAAACAGCCCUGGGUGCUGACACAUCCCAAACAUUAAAUAGGCCUUAUGAAAUGUAUUUUGGUGUUCUUGAGAUACGAGGAUGAAUUUUCAAGAGGACAAUUUAGUCUCAUUUUAACUUGGAAGAUAGAAGAGAUGGUCAAGAGUCUUAUCCGUUGUUUAUAUAAAAAGACUGUAGAAAAUGCGUCAAAGCAUUCGUGAGAUUAGGCACCUCUACAUGCUUCUUGAGGUUAGACACCUCUACAUGUUUGGUGUGGUAUCUAGCACAGAGUAAGCUCUAAAUACAACAAAUAGAAUGAAUAAAUAAAUGAAUGAAUGAACGUUGUAUUCAUUGAUGGUGACUGACACAUGUUCCUUUCUCCUCCCUGUCUGUCUAGUUCUUCUCACCUGAAGAACGUUGGGAAGACCUUAAUUGGAAUCACAAGAAUUGGGUGUAAACUUUGGCUCCACAUUCACUAUCUGUGGGACAUUCAUUAUCUGUGGGCUUCAUCUGUAAAUGGGUGGGCUGUCUUUGGGUAGGUCACCCAGUUGAAACAAUGGACUCCAAGGGUUUUAUUACCUCCUAAGUGUUGAAUAGGAUUAUUGUGUGUCUCCUUGACUUAAUUAGUCCAAUUUUCUACCUCAGGUAGCACAACCAUCACUUCUCAAUUUCGUAUUCUAUUUCUUUUAGGAAGAGUCAAUGCUCAAGAUCUGUGAGAAACUGAAGCAUGUUUGCCUGUUUUUCUCAAUAUAUGCACGUUCUGUAUAUCUCAGUUCUAAAGAACUAAAGCAUAUCACCUGCUGUCAAUGCCUUGACCUUCAAUGAUGGAUACUGAAGCCUUUUAUAGAAAUACAGAAAAACAGCUUUCCCCAGCGUUUUCUCCCCUACCUUCUCUCCUGAACAGUACUGACGUGGCUGCUUGGUAGAAGUUUACCACUAGGGUCCUAUGGAGUAGACAUACAGGACCUUCCGAACUGCUGUGGGGGAAGAAGAGAAGAUGGUGUCUCAGUCUGUCACCCAGGCUGGAGUGCAGCGGUGUGAUCUCGGCUCACUGCAACCUCUGCCUCCCAGUAGAGACGGGGUUUCAUCAUGUUGGCCAGACUGGUCUCGAACUCAUGACCUCAAGUGAUCCACCUGCCUCAGUCUCUCAAAGUGCUGGAAUUACAGGCGUGAGCCACCAUGCCUGGCCCUGCUUGAUCAUUUUUGAAAAGCAGAAAUCCAGGAACAGACCCGAGGGAGUUACAAGGUGUAGAAUGUUGAAGGUAUUUCUCAAAAUGCUAUUCCUCUUCUCAAUACCAGUUCAGCAUUCUCCUCCAGAGAUCUGGUGUCUCACACUGCCUUUUGUGCUGUAAAAGCCAAGCCAAAUGAGAGGCAUUUAAAUUAUUUCUGUUGCCUAGGAAAGAGAAAUAUUAUCCACAGUAACAAAAUCAUCAAAUUUUAUUAUGCACAAGUUAGUGCUAUAUAUUUAGGAGUUUUGCUUUAGAGGAUAUAAUUUAGAAAAAUGGGACAGCUUUUCAUUGGCUUGGAAGUUUCUAUUGUCAAAACAUAUUACCAGGAAAGUACAAUACAUUGUAAAAUUAUAAGGAACUGCAAUUCAGUCCUAUUUUGACUUUAUUUAUAAAAAAAACAAAUUAAUAGCAAAUGAAUAAAACUUUUAAACCAUUAUCCGGGUAAUAAUACUAAACAAAACAACUAAUAAAACAGCCGCAUUCAAACAGCUGUUUAAGGAAGCCCAAUGAUAUUUCAUCCAUUGUCAAACUUGGCAUUUGAGCAGAAUAAAGACCAAAGUAAAUAUUUAUUGAUUCAUG